ensembl:snoRNA B0334.12 ncRNA
GAAUCUCAGACGGGGAAAGUUAAUCUUCACAAUAACUCAGUAGCAGAACUGGAUAUCACAUCACCGAUUC